CCUACGGGGGGCAGCAGUGAGGAAUAUUGGUCAAUGGACGCAAGUCUGAACCAGCCAUGCCGCGUGCAGGAAGACGGCUCUAUGAGUUGUAAACUGCUUUUGUACGAGGGUAAACGCAGAUACGCGUAUCUGUCUGAAAGUAUCGUAUGAAUAAGGAUCGGCUAACUCCGUGCCAGCAGCCGCGGUAAUACGGAGGAUUCAAGCGUUAUCCGGAUUUAUUGGGUUUAAAGGGUGCGUAGGCGGUCGGUUAAGUUAGAGGUGAAAUCCCGAGGCUCAACUUCGGAAUUGCCUCUGAUACUGGUCGGCUAGAGAGUAGGUGCGGUAGGCGGAAUGUGUGGUGUAGCGGUGAAAUGCUUAGAGAUCAUACAGAACACCGAUUGCGAAGGCAGCAUACCAAGCUACUACUGACGUUGAGGCACGAAAGCGUGGGGAGCAAACAGGAUUAGAUACCCGGGUAGUC
rnacentral:rRNA from 1 species